UCCUGAGGGAAGGGGCGUUCCCAGAGUUGGAUGCCCAGACCUGGGACGUGAGGCGCAGAGAGAUCUACGUCCCCUUCCCUGGCAUUUUUUUCUUCUACAGGGGAUGUGAGGAGUUCCCUAGUGUCCUAUAGGUUAAGGGUCCAGUGUUGGAUCCCUGCUGUGGUGCAGAUUCAAGCCCUGGGCUGGGAACUUCAGCAUGCCCUGGGAGUGGUGAAAAUCAGUCAGUCGAUCAGUCAGUGGGAUUGACCUCAGACCAUUCUGCAUGGUCAUUAUCUUGGUUGUCUCCGCUCCCAAGAGGCAUUUUCACACAAACCCUGUGUGGGGAGGUAACGGUUGGAAGUGCACCCCAAAGAGCAAGAUCUCUCUAAGUAGAACUUGGAUGCUGGAGGCUCUGCUGGGCAGGUGGGGAUUGUGGGCAUUGAGGGCUUGGCCUGGGAGUCAGCUGUUGGUCAUUUCCCUGUGGUCUUCUGCAAUCAGUAUAUCACUCGUUCUCUCUGUUGUCAUGUAUUUUCCAGACUGUUGCUUUGGGAGCAAAGGAUCGUGCUUCAAAAGUCUGAGGACAAGUUUGUCCUCUGCGAGCUUGGCUAGAAUAAUUCCCCGGUGGCCACACAACAGGGUGCACCUUGCCACUGAGCCAGAUGAAGCAACGCACGCCGACGAUGUUGUGGAGGCCGGUGGGAGUGAGAAGACCGAGGCAAAGCCCCGGGCUGGGGGACAUGAGGACGAGGCGGCCCCAGUACCUGAGGUGGAGGUGGAGGAGGAGGCGGGCCAGCCCCGUGAAAAUGGCCAGGAGGAGUCCUUAGCCAUCGCCUGGGCUGAGCCGGAAGACGAGCCUGGCCCCAAGGUGGACGGGGCGGACGAUGAAAUCUCUUGGAGCUUGGAGAGUGUGUGUGAGAGCGACCUCGCUGACAGCAACCUCGCAGAAAGUGAUCGAGACUCCACUGGGACACCUUAAAGCCUCAGCCUGGGACUGGAAGAGUCCAAACGUUUCCAUCUUGACCAGGAAACAAGAUCGACCUCACUCUUCAUCUAUUACGAGCCAACUUUAGUAUAAGUUUGGUUCUUUAUUGUCUAGAUUUAGUAUUAAAUUCUCAUACAUGUUUACUACUUGGUAUGCAAAAUUUGUGUAUUAAAUAAUCCUUACCUAUCUAUUUGCUUUUAAACUAGUUUUCGGUAAAAUAAACACAUGUAUAGGAGAGCCCCUUAAGCAGAGGUAGAACUUAAUGCACUGGCGUCAGGCAGUCACCCUAGUGUCCACCACCAGGAUCACCCCCUGUCCUGUCACCCGCAUCAGUCCUGUCUGAAGAAGGGGACUGUGGAUUUAGUCCUGACCAUCUGCCCUCAGGCCAGUUACUUUCCAGGGAUUCUGUGGCCUCACGUCGGUUUGUACCUUUGACCAUGGGACCUCUGUCACACUCCCUCUUUCAGGAUGACAUGGAUGGCCAGGCCUUGCAUGCCCAGACCCUGGCUGCUGGAACAUCCCUAACUCACCCUCUCUCCUCGUGUCUCUAACAUGUUUCUUUACAUCCCGUGCCUCGAGACGGUAUUUUUAAACCAUAUAGAGUGACACCGAAUGGGGCACAGAUAAAACUGUAAAAGCAAUUUUAAUAAAGUACACUUUGAUUGCAAAGCAAGUGUGUUUUGUGUUAAUGGAUCCCUUGGGAGGAUAAAGAAUGGCAUACCCAAGUAUGGAAGGCAGAGAUAGGAAACAUGAGAGAAGGCAUGAACGUGCAGAUUUUUCGGCAAAGGCCAAGAGAAACAUUUCUUUGUCCACAGAAGGAAGAUGUGGUGCUGCAGAAUUGGGUGGCAAGAGUAUUUUCUCUAUUCCAAAAUCUGAGCGUGAAUGAAUCCCAAGGUUAACACUUUUCCCUUCUCCACAGUGCGUUGUCACACCUUUCUAUUGUCCACACAUGCUCGUGCUGUGCUCUCCCUGCCUUGUGAGACUCCAGGUUCUGCAUGAUCAGGGUUGCUCCUGAAACAACAGAGAGAAAGAAAGCCCAGCUGUCUUUGCCUUGGCUUCCCAACCCCCUCGGGCUCUCCUGGACCUCCUGGCAUUCCGUGUCUAAAGAUUCUCCUUGUGGGAAGCUGAGUCCUGGUCAUUCAGAUGGGACGUGGGACGGCCGAGCUGGGUUCACCCCUGGGAACAGACCUUGCGCGCUUCCCCAGGUUGUAACGCGCAUCCUGGCCCCAACCCCACCUACCCCCAUGCUCCAGUGCUUCUACUGGGUGACCACAAAAAGAGGAGGGUGUUUCCUCCAGUCCACCAGCAUCAAGAACAGAAGAGACAGAGACCGAAAGGAAGAGAGACAGAGAGAGAGACAGGGCGGAGCAUAAAACGGGGAGAAAGGGGAAAGAAAAGAGAAAGACACCAAAAGAAUUCAGAGAGAAAGAAGAGAGACAGUUGACGUAGCGGCCUUAACAGCGGGCUCAAGUCACGUCUAGUGACCAAAGCUGUCACAGCUCUGAGCUAUUCAAGGUGAUUUUCGUCCUGGUGAAGCAUCUCCCCUGCAGAAGCCAUUCUGAAGUUGGCAGAGGGGUUGAGGGGCCCACAGCUCCUGGGGUCCCUGCCAGGCCAAUUAGGUCAGGUUCUCACCCAGAUUUCCAGAGAUACUCACCCAGCGUCUGAUGGGGACACAUUCCAUCCAAAAAGAUGUGCUCCCAAGCCACGCUGCCUGAAGAGCCCCAAGAAGGGAACCAAGACACCUGCCUUUCAUGUUCUGAAGGCUGGGAACCAGACAGCUAUCAGCAGGAUACUCCUAGGGUGGACUGCCCUAAUGCAGUCGGGGCAAGGCAGGAAGCAUGGCUGAGAGCUAAAAGAAGAGCUGUUGGCUGAAGCAAAAGGAAACUCCAAUAAGGUGUGAAGUACAGUGAUAGAGCCCCAGGCCCCGAGAUCAACAGAGACCGGACGUACGGAGUUCCCUCUGCCUCCCACAGCAGAACCUUGGUCUGCACUGGCCUGGGGCACCUGCCGGUGUGAGGUACCUGCUCCUCUCAGUGCCCUGAAAUGAAUGCCAGUUGCAAAGUCGGCCGGGGCUCUCACCCCACCUGACACCACCCUACACCCUGAAAUCAGCAACCCCGCUUUUUAAGUCAAGUGAGCAGGCUUUGAAUCAUCAGCACCCUUCAGACCUGGGACCCAGACUGAAAUCAAGGACCACCCAGCUUGUAUCCACAUGACCUGGAUUCAGGUAGCUUCCUUCUAACGAGGAUGCCACAGAGGAGGAAGAGGCUCAGAUGGAGAAGGAAGAAGGAGAGUGUGGAGCUCUCUGGAGAGAAAGGGCACAGGGAUGAGCACAGCCUGCCCCAAAGUACUACCACACAGAUACACUGCGCUCACGACCAGAAGCCAAACUCCACGCCAGCCUGAUUUGAGAAAGCUGCACAGCCAGGAUUCAAGCCAGGUACAUCUGGACCAAGAAUGCUGCCUCCAAACCAUCGAAGGGCACUCAGAGCCCCCAGACAGCCUGCCCAACUCUCUAGCCACUGGGCCGCCCAACCAGACAGGAAUCGAACCUCAGGUGUGAAAGUGGAACUAUGUCCCCUCUCUGAGUUGAGGUAAAGUGAGCCAGAGGUUCAGAGGCUCCAUGUACCCAGGUGCAAGGCCCUGGGCACCUCCAAGGGGUUCAACCAACCUGUCUCCAACCCCAUCUCUGAGCCUGAAGGCGCAGCCAGCAAGCUGCAGAGGGUCUCUGCUGGUGUCUGGCACUAUCUGGUGGCCAUGUGCUCUGACACCAACGCUCUGCUUUUCCUACUGUUUCCUAAUACAGCCCCCCUGUCCCACUGGCCUGGGGCACUUGCCAGUGUGACUUCCUUCACCCUCUCCCUCUCGGUGCACUGAAAGGCAUUGCAGUCGGGGAUAAGCCUAUGUCAAAGUUUCCCAGGACUCUCUCCCCACUCGACACCACCCCACUCCCUGAAAUCAGUGACCCUGCCUUUUUUUUUUUUUUUAAUUUUUUAAUGCAGUGCCUGUGGCAUAUGGAGGUUCCCAGGCCAGGGGUUGAAUCAGAGCCAUAGCCACUGGCCUAUGCCACAGCCACCGAAAUGCCAGAUCCAAAACACAUCUGCGACCAACAGCACAGCUCAUGGCAAUGCAGGAUCUUUAACCCACUGAUGGAGGCCAGGGAUUGAACCUGCACCCUCAUAGAUACUAGUCAAAUUUGUUUCUGCUGAGCCACAACAGGAACUUCCCAGGAAUAUGUUUUUAAAAGCAGCGUAUGCACUAGAAAAGAGAGAUAGCCGUGCAAAAAUAUCGAUACGAUCCUCUUUAUAGAUGGUGUGCUGGCCUCCCAUGAGCCUCAGCAGGAAUGUCACGUUUGCUGAAGAUAAGAGUUCAGUGAGGCUUCUGUGCUGGUACCUGAUCUCUCCGAAGUCUCCAUAUUUUUGAAACCAAAACACCUCUAACUCAAACCCAGCCUAACUAAACCCUGAUUGGGACUUGGACCCACCGUUUUUCAAUCAGAAUCACUCACCUGGUGUCUGGACUUACUGAGGCUCAGGUUCUUUGUGAUUCAGCACAGAGGGAAUUCAGCAAGAGACAAAGGGAUAGGCAAGAAGUAGAUUUAGUAAGAUAGGACACUUGUGAGAGAUACA
ensembl:lncRNA